GGGUUGUGAGGUUAAGCGAAUAAGCGUACACGGUGGAUGCCUAGGCAAUCAGAGGCGAUGAAGGACGUGCUAAUCUGCGAAAAGCGUCGGUAAGGUGAUAUGAACCGUUAUACCCGACGAUAUCCGAAUGGGGAAACCCAGUAUCCAAUGGAUACUAUCAUUAACUGAAUCCAUAGGUUAAUGAGGCGAACCGGGAGAACUGAAACAUCUCAGUACCCCGAGGAAAAGAAAUCAACCGAGAUUCCCCUAGUAGCGGCGAGCGAACGGGGAGCAGCCCAGAGUCUUAAUCAAUAACAGUGUCAGGAGAACGGUCUGGAAAGUCCGGCAGUAAAGGGUGAUAGCCCCGUAUCUGAAGAUGCUGUUAUUGUGAACUCGACGAGUAGGGCGGGACACGUGUUAUCCUGUCUGAAUAUGGGGGGACCAUCCUCCAAGGCUAAAUACUCCUGAUUGACCGAUAGUGAACCAGUACCGUGAGGGAAAGGCGAAAAGAACCCCGGCGAGGGGAGUGAAAAAGAACCUGAAACCGUGUACGUACAAGCAGUAGGAGCCUCUUUAUGGGGUGACUGCGUACCUUUUGUAUAAUGGGUCAGCGACUUAUAUUCUGUAGCGAGGUUAACCGUAUAGGGGAGCCGUAGGGAAACCGAGUCUUAACUGGGCGAAUGAGUUGCAGGGUAUAGACCCGAAACCCGGUGAUCUAUCCAUGGGCAGGUUGAAGGUUGGGUAACACUAACUGGAGGACCGAACCGACUAAUGUUGAAAAAUUAGCGGAUGACUUGUGGAUGGGGGUGAAAGGCCAAUCAAACCGGGAGAUAGCUGGUUCUCCCCGAAAGCUAUUUAGGUAGCGCCUCGUGAAUUCAUCUUCGGGGGUAGAGCACUGUUUCGACUAGGGGGUCAUCCCGACUUACCAACUCGAUGCAAACUGCGAAUACCGAAGAAUGUUAUCACGGGAGACACACGGCGGGUGCUAACGUCCGUCGUGAAGAGGGAAACAACCCAGACCGCCAGCUAAGGUCCCAAAGUCAUGGUUAAGUGGGAAACGAAGUGGGAAGGCUCAGACAGCCAGGAUGUUGGCUUAGAAGCAGCCAUCAUUUAAAGAAAGCGUAAUAGCUCACUGGUCGAGUCGGCCCGCGCGGAAGAUGUAACGGGGCUAAACCAUGCACCGAAGCUGCGGCAGCGACACAAAGUGUUGUUGGGUAGGGGAGCGUUCUGUAAGCCUGCGAAGGUGUACUGUGAGGUAUGCUGGAGGUAUCAGAAGUGCGAAUGCUGACAUAAGUAACGAUAAUGCGGGUGAAAAACCCGCACGCCGGAAGACCAAGGGUUCCUGUCCAACGUUAAUCGGGGCAGGGUGAGUCGACCCCUAAGGCGAGGCUGAAAAGCGUAGUCGAUGGGAAACGGGUUAAUAUUCCCGUACUGGUGGUAACUGCGAUGGGGGAACGGAGAAGGCUAGGUUGUCCGGGCGACGGUCGUCCCGGUUCAAGCAGGUAGGCAGAGUGAUUAGGCAAAUCCGGUCACUUAAUGCUGAGAUGUGAUGACGAACCACUAAGGUGGUGAAGCAAUUGAUGCCCCGCUUCCAGGAAAAGCCUCUAAGCUUCAGGUUACCAACAAUCGUACCCCAAACCGACACAGGUGGUCAGGUAGAGAAUACUCAGGCGCUUGAGAGAACUCGGGUGAAGGAACUAGGCAAAAUGGUGCCGUAACUUCGGGAGAAGGCACGCUGGCGGUAGGUAAAGUCCCUUGCGGACGGCGCUGAAGCCAGUCGAAGAUACCAGCUGGCUGCAACUGUUUAUUAAAAACACAGCACUGUGCAAACACGAAAGUGGACGUAUACGGUGUGACGCCUGCCCGGUGCUGGAAGGUUAAUUGAUGGGGUCAGCCGUAAGGCGAAGCUCCUGAUCGAAGCCCCAGUAAACGGCGGCCGUAACUAUAACGGUCCUAAGGUAGCGAAAUUCCUUGUCGGGUAAGUUCCGACCUGCACGAAUGGCGUAAUGAUGGCCAGGCUGUCUCCACCCGAGACUCAGUGAAAUUGAACUCGCUGUGAAGAUGCAGUGUACCCGCGGCAAGACGGAAAGACCCCGUGAACCUUUACUAUAGCUUGACACUGAACAUUGAGCCUUGAUGUGUAGGAUAGGUGGGAGGCUUUGAAGUGUGGACGCCAGUCUGCAUGGAGCCAACCUUGAAAUACCACCCUUUAACGUUUGAUGUUCUAACCUAGGCCCAUAAACUGGGUCGGGGACCGUGUCUGGUGGGUAGUUUGACUGGGGCGGUCUCCUCCUAAAGAGUAACGGAGGAGCACGAAGGUUGGCUAAGCAUGGUCGGACAUCAUGCGGUUAGUGCAAAGGCAUAAGCCAGCUUGACUGCGAGAGUGACGGCUCGAGCAGGUACGAAAGUAGGUCUUAGUGAUCCGGUGGUUCUGAAUGGAAGGGCCAUCGCUCAACGGAUAAAAGGUACUCCGGGGAUAACAGGCUGAUACCGCCCAAGAGUUCAUAUCGACGGCGGUGUUUGGCACCUCGAUGUCGGCUCAUCACAUCCUGGGGCUGAAGUAGGUCCCAAGGGUAUGGCUGUUCGCCAUUUAAAGUGGUACGCGAGCUGGGUUUAGAACGUCGUGAGACAGUUCGGUCCCUAUCUGCCGUGGGCGUUGGAAGAUUGAGAGGGGUUGCUCCUAGUACGAGAGGACCGGAGUGAACGCACCACUGGUGUUCGGGUUGUCAUGCCAAUGGCAUUGCCCGGUAGCUAAGUGCGGAAGAGAUAACCGCUGAAAGCAUCUAAGCGGGAAACUUGCCUCGAGAUGAGUCUUCCCUGUCGCUUUAAGCGACCUAAAGGAACGUUUAAGACUAAGACGUUGAUAGGCUGGGUGUGUAAGCGUAGCGAUACGUUGAGCUAACCAGUACUAAUGAACCGUGAGGCUUAACCUGACAACACCGAAAGUGUUUUG
rnacentral:rRNA from 1 species